CUUCAUUUUCGUUGUUAAAUCGUUUAGAGUUUCUACAAGUUGUUAGGCAUACCGAAGCAAUAACAAUUAAUAAAACCGAAUAUACAUACCCCAAACUUUUUUCCAAAAGUCUUUCCGAAAGCUGAUUGAUGUUUUUCAUAAACGGUAGAGCUUCUUUGUCAAUUCGCAUAGUGAUAUCAGGUCUAAGUUCUGCUAUUACAUUUGCAUUUUGAUCAUUUCCUUCUAAAUCAAAGAGGUGCGAUGCAAUAGGUUCAUCCGAUACUUUGGUUACCUCUUGAAAAUGUUAGAAAUGGAAUUCAUCUAGGUUGGAGAAAUUACCUUCAUUAUCUUUUAAAUACUUAUCCAUUAUAUCAUCAGAGGGAUCCAUUGGUGUAAUUCUGUCGCCACGAAGCUUUUUACAAAGCUUGGAAAGGAAAAAUCUACUCCAAAACUCUCCUUCUGCUAGAGGAGGCACAUGCUUGUCAUAUACCUUUCGGAGCAAUGGAUGUUGUUCAAACAUAUCGUGAAUUUGCUGGCCGGUAAGGGAAACUUUCAUUUGGUUGUCCACUGUUUUAGGUUUAAUAGUAGACAAGACAUUAUAAGGACCACGCUGCUGAGACCUUUCUACAGCAUGAGCGCGGAGCAAAUGAAGCCUUGUGCUCCAAAAUUGCUCAUUACUUAAAUGUCCCUUCAUAACUGCUUCCUUAAAUGUUUGUAAGAGAUCGGGAUUGUUAGUAAGCAAAGACUCUUGUAAGUCGAUGUCCUUUUCUAGAUUCGUAGAAUUUACACGAUCGACAUUGGCUCCUUGUGGUUUAGAUUGAGAGCCUUCCCUUUGUCUUUGUAUCGCAUUUCUCAACUCAUUAGUAAUCAUAUCACAAUUUUCUCUGGCAUUAGGAGUACCGGUGAAAUGAAAUACUAAAGAAGUGGGAUCUUCACCUUCCUUUACUACUAUAAAAACACGAAUCAUAACUUUUGGAUUAGACGCUGGAGUAGUUUGAAGAUCUAUCAAUCUGUCAGUAAUCUCGAAAAUGCAACAAUUAUUAUUACUCGAAAUUGCAUCAAAAGCAAUAUCUACUGAUGGUGUUGUUUUCCCUUCCCCCGUCCAUUUUAAUCUACUAUCGAUAGAUAAUACGCCUGCAUGUUAGAAUCAUUGAUUUAAUUGUUAUUUUACCUUGUUUUUUUCUGAAUAUGGCUAAUGCUUCUACCCUGUCUCCCAUCAGAUAUUUUGGUAGUUGUGGAAUACACCGCUAGUCUUUUACGAAAUUAUCAAGAUUUGUUAGACACAGGAUGAACAUUGGAAACUACGAAAAUCAUUAGAAAAAUAAAAGUUUUGAAUGGUUUCUUGAUGUCCCAAAUCAUAUACACUUAGAUUUUGGGUAAAUAUAUCCUCAUUAAGUUGAGCUAUGAACAUAGGUAACCUAUAAGAGACAGUUAUCUAAAACUAUAGCCCUGUUUUAUUUUUAAAAAAAUACAAUAUGAAUUAAUCAUAUACGCAAUCAAUCCGACCCUUCAGAGCAGUAGACAAGAGUGGUUGUUGUUCCAUAAAGUACAAUGCGUUUAUCCCAGGUAAUACGAUAUAUCUCAGCCAAAGAGAAAGAACC